CUAUAGAAACCUAUAUGGUGAAACUUUUAUUAUCCUCACAUUAUAAAUCAGUAAGACAAGGUGACAAUAUACCAGAGAGUCUCCUAUGGAUUUGCGACAGGAUUUCACCAUAUUGACCAGGCUGGCCUCGAACUCCCGACCUCAAGUGGUCCGCCCGCCUUGGCCUCCCAAAGUGCUGGGAGUACAGGUGUGAGUCACCAUGCCUGGCCUUCAUACUUAUUUUCUUAGGUGAUUAGGUGAUAAUGUCUACUACAGUAAGUCUAAUUAACUUAAAUUUACUUAAUCAAUAGGCAUUCUGUGGGGAUUUCUGUGGGGAUUUGAUAAGAUCAUUUCAAAAGUAAAUUAAAUAGUUUUAUUUAAAUUAACUCUCAUAUAAAUAAAAACUACAAAAUUUAGACAAAAUACA
rnacentral:lncRNA from 1 species